GGCUCCCGCAUUUUUGUCACCUAACCAUUUACUGACGGUACAAUCAAACUAACUCCAAAUUUGUGCAGUACCUGUCGUAAUUCUGAGAGUCCUUUCAGUAUGGCCUGCUGCCUGUCUCUCACCACAUUGGGAUUAAAAAUUGCAUCCCUUACAUGAUCGGAACUAAAAAUCUGCCGUGGAGUAUGGUAAGAAUCUAAAGUACCGUUCAGCUGUUGGUAUUGCAGAUCAUGUGUCGAAGGUCUAGUCAUGGGUGCAUCUGGAUCCAGGUAAUACACUUCAUUUGUUCGCACAUAGGGAACAAAGUAUGCUGAUGGUGGCCUUUCCAUUU